UUUUAUGGCUGUAAAGAGAACCUUUCUGGAGUGUAACUGAUGCAGCACUGUCUUUCCUGAGUCAGCUGCUUGUCACAUUUCAUUUAAUGCAUCUCAGCAACCAGCACUUGCAUCACCAAAUCCUCGCUCACCCUGGCAUCUCCUUUUCGCUGAGUUACGAUCUUCCUCUCUGUUGUCAUCUCCCUGCUCUGCCAUGCUCCUAAAGGACCACUUCAGGGCUGAUUUCUGACUGGCUGCAACCUCUCUUAGGAGAAAAGGACCCGGACGUGGCUGGGCUUCCACGCAAGAAAGCAAAUAACCAUCAGAAGUCCUUCUACUUCUGUGUCUGUGAAGAAGGAGAUGCUGUGUUCCUAAGGCGGUUCAUCCAAGUCCCAGAGGCAGCACAGCAAGGCUG
rnacentral:lncRNA from 1 species